AAAUAGAGACUAUGUUAACUGAUACACAUAUACUUUCUGAAUGUACCAUGUAUCAAUCUAUAUAAGUUCCUAGUGUUCGGAAUCUUUCGUUUCAUUUAUUUUAUCUGACAUGCAAGUUCUUGUAUAUUUUAGGCCAAGGUGAACGACAGCCAACUGGUAAAGUUGAAAUACAGCCAUCUGUGUCAGAUGUUCUAACUAC